UGCCUUUCAAGUGCUGGCUAUGCAAUACCUUGCUGGGACUCUUUUCUUUCAUGAUUAAAAGAAAACAAAAAACAAAGCAUUUUUCACUGCGUGGACCCAAAAUCAUGCAUGUACACAUGCCACGGCAUGCUUGUGGAGGUUCGAGGACCACUUUUUGGAGUUGGUAUUUGGGUGAUAGAUUUUUCCCUUAUGACACAACGUGCAUGUCUACUUAUACUGGAAAGAGGAGCUCAGGACAGACUAAAAUAACCAAUGUCCAAUUUGUUGAACUGAAAACUGCAACCCUGGCCCUCUAUGAAGCUGUAUGCAUUCAGAACAUCUCCUUCUUUUUGAUGUCUGAUAGUCCAGGGAUAAGGGCCCAGCUGAUGAUAGUCUGGGGAUUGGGGCCCAGCUGUAAUAUUUUGUAUAUACAGUAUAGUGGAUACAGUAUAUGGAUAAUGGUACUUGUAGAUUGCUACGUAAGUGACCAAGAAUGCAUGUUAUUUUGCUAUAUGUUCAAACCACCGUAAUUUUUCCCUGCUCACAAACCUCUAAUUUUUUUCUCUCCUUCUUUAACCGACUUUAACCUGGAAGCACAUUUGGCUUGGUAGAUUCAGACGGUCCUUGCUAUGCCGUGAUGGUGUAUAAUGUGGUGCAGAGCUGGGGAGUUCUCAUUGGGGACUCUGUAGCCAUUCCUGAGCCCAACCUGAGGCAUCACCAAAUUCAGCACAAGGGAAAGGACUAUUCCUUCUCCAGCGUUCGCGUGGAAACGCCUCUUCUGCUGGUGGUGAAUGGAAAGCCACAG
rnacentral:lncRNA from 1 species